GGGGAAUAUUGCACAAUGGGCGAAAGCCUGAUGCAGCAACGCCGCGUGAGCGAUGAAGGCCUUUGGGUCGUAAAGCUCUGUCCUUGGGGAAGAAAAAAAUGACGGUACCCUUGGAGGAAGCCCCGGCUAACUACGUGCCAGCAGCCGCGGUAAUACGUAGGGGGCAAGCGUUAUCCGGAAUUAUUGGGCGUAAAGAGUGCGUAGGUGGUUUUGUAAGCGCGGGGUGAAAGGCAAUGGCUCAACUAUUGUAAGCCCUGCGAACUGUGAGACUUGAGUGCAGGAGAGGAAGGCGGAAUUCCUAGUGUAGCGGUGAAAUGCGUAGAUAUUAGGAGGAACACCAGUGGCGAAGGCGGCUUUCUGGACUGUAACUGACACUGAGGCACGAAAGCGUGGGGAGCAAACA
rnacentral:rRNA from 1 species